ACCUCAAGUCAUAUGAGAGUACCCGCUGAACUUAAGCAUAUCAAUAAGCGGAGGAAAAGAAACUAACAAGGAUUCCCCUAGUAACGGCGAGUGAAGCGGGAAGAGCACAAAUUUAAAAUCUACCUGGUUUUCAGGUCGAGUUGUAAUUUGAAGAUACGUUUUUGACGUUCCGGGUUGGACUAAAUCCUUUGGGAUAAGGUAUCAUGGAGGGUGAGAAUCCCGUAUAUACCAACCAUAGGGAUGUUAUUUAAUACGUUUCUAAGAGUCGAGUUGUUUGGGAAUGCAGCUCUAAAUGGGUGGUAAAUUUCACCUAAUGCUAAAUAUAAGCGAGAGACCGAUAGCGAACAAGUACAGUGAUGGAAAGAUGAAAAGAACUUUGAAAAGAGAGUUAAAUAGUACGUGAAAUUGUUGAAAGGGAAACGAUUGAAGUCAGUCAUGCCGGUGGGAAUCAACUUAGGGGAAACUCUAAGUGCACUUCUUCGCUUGGCAGGUCAACGUCGAUUUUGGAUGUCAUAAAAUGAUUGGGGGAAGGUAGCUCCUUAGGGAGUGUUAUAGCCCUUGGUAGAUGUGAUGUCUGGGAUCGAGGAUUGCAAUGGAUACCCUUUGGGGCUAGCUGCCUGAUCUCUAAUUGGUAUUGGGUUACGGAUAGCAUGCUGACCGUGAUCUAAUUAUUGGUUAAAAGGUUAGAGCGUGCAUAAAUUCAUUAAGGACGUUGACGUAAUGGCUUUAAACGACCCGUCUUGAAACACGGACCAAGGAGUCUAACAUGUAUGCGAGUGUU
rnacentral:rRNA from 1 species